AUUGAACGCUGGCGGCAGGCCUAACACAUGCAAGUCGAGCGGCAGCGGGAAAGUAGCUUGCUACUUUUGCCGGCGAGCGGCGGACGGGUGAGUAAUGCCUGGGAAAUUGCUCAGUCGAGGGGGAUAACAGUUGGAAACGACUGCUAAUACCGCAUACGCCCUACGGGGGAAAGCAGGGGACCUUCGGGCCUUGCGCGAUUGGAUAUGCCCAGGUGGGAUUAGCUAGUUGGUGAGGUAAUGGCUCACCAAGGCGACGAUCCCUAGCUGGUCUGAGAGGAUGAUCAGCCACACUGGAACUGAGACACGGUCCAGACUCCUACGGGAGGCAGCAGUGGGGAAUAUUGCACAAUGGGGGAAACCCUGAUGCAGCCAUGCCGCGUGUGUGAAGAAGGCCUUCGGGUUGUAAAGCACUUUCAGCGAGGAGGAAAGGUUGAUGCCUAAUACGUAUCAACUGUGACGUUACUCGCAGAAGAAGCACCGGCUAACUCCGUGCCAGCCGCCGCCGUAA
rnacentral:rRNA from 1 species